rnacentral:rRNA from 1 species
UACGUAGGGCGCAAGCGUUGUCCGGAAUUAUUGGGCGUAAAGAGCUCGUAGGCGGCCUGUCGCGUCCGCUGUGAAAUCCCGGGGCUCAACCCCGGGCGUGCAGUGGAUACGGGCUGGCUGGAGGCAGGCAGGGGAGAACGGAAUUCCUGGUGUAGCGGUGAAAUGCGCAGAUAUCAGGAGGAACACCGGUGGCGAAGGCGGUUCUCUGGGCCUGUUCUGACGCUGAGGAGCGAAAGCGUGGGGAGCGAACAGG